rnacentral:rRNA from 1 species
GAGUUUGAUCCUGGCUCAGAACGAACGCUGGCGGCAGGCCUAACACAUGCAAGUCGAGCGAGAUCUUCGGAUCUAGCGGCGGACGGGUUAGUAACGCGUGGGAACGUGCCCUUCACUACGGAAUAGUCCCGGGAAACUGGGUUUAAUACCGUAUACGCCCUUCGGGGGAAAGAUUUAUCGGUGAAGGAUCGGCCCGCGUCUGAUUAGAUAGUUGGUGGGGUAAUGGCCUACCAAGUCUACGAUCAGUAGCUGGUUUGAGAGGAUGAUCAGCAACACUGGGACUGAGACACGGCCCAGACUCCUACGGGAGGCAGCAGUGGGGAAUCUUAGACAAUGGGCGCAAGCCUGAUCUAGCCAUGCCGCGUGAGUGAUGAAGGCCUUAGGGUCGUAAAGCUCUUUCGCCUGUGAAGAUAAUGACGGUAGCAGGUAAAGAAACCCCGGCUAACUCCGUGCCAGCAGCCGCGGUAAUACGGAGGGGGUUAGCGUUGUUCGGAAUUACUGGGCGUAAAGCGCACGUAGGCGGACUAAUAAGUCAGAGGUGAGAUCCCAGGGCUCAACCUUGGAACUGCCUUUGAUACUGUUAGUCUUGAGUUCGAGAAAGGUGAGUGGAAUUCCGAGUGUAGAGGUGAAAUUCGUAGAUAUUCGGAGGAACACCAGUGGCGAAGGCGGCUCACUGGCUCGAUACUGACGCUGAGGUGCGAAAGUGUGGGGAGCAAACAGGAUUAGAUACCCUGGUAGUCCACACCGUAAACGAUGAAUGCCAGUCGUCGGGUAGCAUGCUAUUCGGUGACACACCUAACGGAUUAAGCAUUCCGCCUG